AAAAAAAAAAAAAAGUGCUGCAGCAAGUUUUUACUAGUUUUAUGAAAUACAGUCCACAUACCAUAAUAUUCAGCCUUUUAAACUGUACAAUUCAGUGUUUCUGUGUGUAUUCACAAGGUGUGGUAUAUUCACCACUAUGUAAUUAUAGAACAUUUUUGUCACCUCCCAAAAGAAAUCUCGUAUCAUUAGUAGUCAUUCCCCAUUUUCCCCUCCCAUCAGCCCCUGGCAAUUACUAAUCUACUUUCUGUUUCUAUAGAUUUGCCCAUUCUGGACAUUUUAUAUAAAUUGGAAUCAUACAACUUGUGACAAUUAGCAUCUGGCUUCUUUCACUUAGUAUAAUGUUUUCAAGACCCAUCUAUGUUGUGAAAUGAAUGCAUAAAUAAAAACAGGCUUAUGUGAUCCUUCUAAGAGAUUAUUUGCAGUUUCAACAUGGCACACUGAGAGGGCCAAGAAGAAAUGUGCAGACGGGAAAAAAACCGUUUUCCCUAAAGGAAGCCUGCUGGACAACAAAGCAGAGUUCAGGUGUCCUGGAAUUUAAAUCCUUGACUUCUCCUGAUGCUGCCUCCCACGUGUUGGCACACAGCGUCCAUCUGCCCCACAUUGCUGAUAUGAAUUUUAAUCACCUGGUUAAGGUAUCAUGGGAUAUCCCCAAGGUAUAUAGUCACUAUUUUUUAUGUGUAAUUAAUAAGUAAUUUGUAUGAAAGAUAUUUUAAGAAUAUCUAAAUAUACUACUUCCUGAACUCCCUCCAUCUCUGCUAGAUUUAGCAUCUGUUGAUAAUUCUUGCCUGGUCAACUUUUAUUAUGAUGGUUGCAAAAUGAUCAUUUUCUAACUCCUUUGCUCCUUCUAGAUUUUCUAGUUGGCAUUUUACUAUAAAGAUGAGCUUUUCCUUUUCUCCCUUUUAUUCAUUUAUGUACUUAUUAUAAUAAUUGUAUUGACUAUGGAUUCUUACAUUAUUCAACAAGAACCUUUGAGUUUUUAGAAGUACUCUUCAAACACAGGGGAAAGAAACUACAGAUCUGGAUUGAGAGACAUUAACUGGGCAAAGUUUAUUCAUGAGGCAAGAGGAAAACUAUUAACUGGGGACUCCACUUGUUUUGGAUGCUUGUGGGCAAGAGAGGUUUAAGGCCUCAGGCACCGCAGUUAGGACAUUAGCCUGCAGCUCUCGUAAUAGACAAUGUGAGUUACAACUACCAAGUUGCAGUGCUGCUCAUCAUCAGACAUGAUAUCACACCAAAAAAAUUCCAUCCAAACAACCCAUCGAUUUCUCCACAACUAGCACACUUGAAUGUUCUGGCAAACUCAAAGGGACAUGAUUUACAAAUAGUAGGUAAUAUUUGGAUCUUUCGACAAGAGCUGAGUUCCA
rnacentral:lncRNA from 1 species